rnacentral:lncRNA from 1 species
UCUUUAUUGAGGUGAAAUAUUUUUUGUUCUUUUUGUUGACAUUAUACAAGUCUUGAUGAAACAAAACACUAAAAUAUGAAACACAUUGGAUAACGAGGAGGGUUUUCUCAAAUAGGUAUAAGGGCCACAAAUUUUUCGAUGAGUAAAUAAUCAUGUUCCUUAUUUGGCCCACAAUAAUUGAAAGUAUAAAGUGAACUUUGGUGGUAUUUGAACUCAGAAUAUAAAGGGAUGUAUAUUGUAAGCUAACUAAAAUACUGUAAAGCACUUUGCCCGUUGCUCCACCAAUUCUGCACCACAAAGAUAUUUUCUUAUUUGUUUCACUCUUUGGACUGUGGCCAUGCUGGAGCACCAUCUUGAAAUUACUUUUUUUUAAGGCUUGGUACUUAUUCUAGUGGUUAUCUUUGGUGAACUGCUAAGUUACAGGAACAUAAACAAACCAACACUAGUUGUCAGGUGGUGGUGGUGGACAAACACAAAGACCUAUAUGCAUACACAUAUGACAGGCUUCUUUCAGUUUCCAUCUACCAAACUGACUCACAAUGCUUUGGUCGGCCUGAGGCCACAGUGGAAGACACUUGCUCAAGCUACCACACAGAGAGAUAGAACCCAAAACCCUGAGGCCAAGAAGCAAACUUUUUUACCACGCAGCCAAAACACGAAGCUUUGGUUUUAUAAGGAAUCAAACAUGGAAGUCUACGAGGCUGAAUGGCAGAAACAAUAAAAAUAUUGGAUAAAUGCAUUUAAUAUUGUCAUGUUCUGAGUUCAAAUCUCACCAAAGUUGAAUUUAUCUUUCAUCCUUCUGGGGUUCUUUGGUAGAUUACACCCCAUUUACAUACUAGUGUCAAGCUAACUGACUUUGCUGUUUUUCUCCAAAACUUGUGGCCAGGAACCAAUAACAGAAAGUAGAGAGCAAAGAAAAGGAAAAAGGUUCUUUGGAUUUUAUUGUCUCUUUAAAAGAUUUGUUUUUUUUUUUGGUGGAGUCUGUUACGUCAGUAGCAGCUGGAAAUGUAAUUCUUGGCAAAAUUGAGCGAAUUCUAUGUAGAUUAUAUUUUCAAAAUGCGGGGUUUAUUGUAAUAGAGUAAGGGGGCCAAUUUGUUGGUUUGAUGAGGAAGCAGGUCAUCGGAAGGUGAUUUAAAAAAAAAAAAGAAACAAAGCUUCUGUUUCAUGUGUGUGAGAGUGUAUAUAUAUAUAUAUAUAUAUAUAUAUAUAUAUAUAUAUAUAUAUAUAGGGAGAAUUCAAAAAAGAAAAACAAAAAAAACAACAACAAAAGAUGAAUACAGGUGGUGUAGACAACAAAUAAAUGCAUUAGUUUAAUGCUUGGGAAGUGAAAAAGUCUUUAAUAUUUCGAGCCUAAGCUCUUCCACAGAAAGAAACAAGGGGAGAAAAUAAAGAAUGUGUAGUGGCUAGCAAUCUAUAUAUACAUAUAUAUAUGCACACACAUACAUAGAGACAUAGAUAGAUAAACAUUUCUUAUAGAUGUGUGUGUAUGUAUAUUUAUAUGUAU